UUCCCAGCUAGGAUGGAAGUUAUUUCACGCAACAAGUCAAACAUCACUUUUCUAAAAAGGCCAGCUUGAUACACUCAAGACCAUGAGCAUGUAGACAGCAAGAUGCCAACAGCCACCCUGAUGUGCUUUGAGCACUACAACAUCUGCCUCUGAUACAAGGAAAUAGCUCUAGAAUGGUGGGAAAUCUAUGGGCUGCUAGAUUCUCUUCUCUGUACUGAAAGAAACCAGGAAGUGUUGCUGGGGUCCAAGUUCUAUUUGUGGUUUUGGUGUGCAUUUUCAGUCGGUCCCUGUUCCCCAACCAUAACCUGAACAUUCAACAUUUAAGAAGGAUUUUCAGGACAGCUGCUCUCCAAGUACACACACUCUGAGCUCUCUGUGUGCACAGCAUUUGUUUAUCUCUCCGGCAUACCCCAUGGGAAUUCUUUACAUAAAGACAAGAGACACAGAGAAGGUAAAAUGUGAGGAUGGGGACCUGAAGGAAAGGAGGCCUCCUCUACAGUCUGCCUGCACAUAAGCAGAUUUACUCUGAUGAUUCACUCUGGAAACAAAACUACACCUUGCCCACCUUCUGCACACCAAGCGUGCAUUCUGCAAAACCUGAGGCCAACAGGAAGCUGCCUGCAGCAUCAGGUAGCUUUUCUGAGUUGAAAAGGAGUCUUGUGUACACAUUCAGAGAAAUGCCAGCAGAAGAUGUAGUCAUUCGGAAAGAAACAAGUCUGGAAGAAAAUGCACCGCAGACCAGCACCGAGAGGUUAAUUACUGACUGUGGUGGAAAGAAAGGAGCAGAGUCACAUUUGGUGGCUUCAGUAGCAUUCAGAGUGCAGAAAGGAGCACCAUCAAGUCUUGCACCACCCUUGGACACCAAGUUCCCCUGUCAACUACCAUGCACUUGAAACACAGACUUUGCUUUUCAAGCUUCUAUAGUUGCUCUUGAGAAGCCAGCUGCAAACCUCAAUGUUGAUCAUUUUCAGGUCACAUCACAGUGAUAUAUGUGCACCCAUGUUUAUAGAAGCACGAUUUGUAAUAGCUAAAUUUGGAAACAACCAAAAUGUCCAUCAACCGCAGAGUGAAUGAAAAAGAUAUGAUACAUUUAUACAAUGGAAUAUUACUCAGCUAUAAAAAGGAUGAUCUUGAUGCCUUUAUAGGUAAAUGGAGGCAACUUGAGACUAUCAUCAUAAAUGAAAUAAACAAGACUCACAUUUACAAAUAUUACAUUGUCUCUGUAGUGUAAAAAAUUGAAAAAGUAAUAAGACCCAAAAUGUAUAAUAAAUAUUGUAAAAAUGAAAGGGAAGAAAAGUGCUCUAAAGGAUAUAAGUGUAUGUAUA